rnacentral:rRNA from 1 species
AACGAACGCUGGCGGCAGGCUUAACACAUGCAAGUCGAGCGCCCCGCAAGGGGAGCGGCAGACGGGUGAGUAACGCGUGGGAAUCUACCCAUCUCUACGGAAUAACGCAUGGAAACGUGUGCUAAUACCGUAUACGUCCUUCGGGAGAAAGAUUUAUCGGAGAUGGAUGAACCCGCGUUCGAUUAGCUAGUUGGUGGGGUAAAGGCCUACCAGGGGGACGAUCCAUAGCUGGCCUGAGAGGAUGAUGAGCCACACUGAGACUGAGACACGGCCCAGGCUCCUCCGGGAGGCAGCAGUGGGGAAUAUUGGACAAUGGGCGCAAGCCAGAUCCAGCCAUGCCGCGUGAGUGAAGAAGGCGCGAGGGUUGUAAAGCUCUUUCACCGGUGAAGAUAAUGACGGUAACCGGAGAAGAAGCCCCGGCUAACUUCGUGCCAGCCGCCGCGGUAAAAC